AUACGGAGGGUGCAAGCGUUAAUCGGAAUUACUGGGCGUAAAGCGUACGUAGGCGGUUCGUUAAGUUAGAUGUGAAAGCCCCGGGCUUAACCUGGGAACUGCAUUUAAAACUGGCGGACUAGAGUUGAGUAGAGGGGAGUGGAAUUUCAGGUGUAGCGGUGAAAUGCGUAGAGAUCUGAAGGAACACCAGUGGCGAAGGCGACUCCCUGGACUCGAACUGACGCUGAGGAGCGAAAGCGUGGGGAGCAAACGGGAUUAGAAACCCGAGUAGUCC
rnacentral:rRNA from 1 species